ACCAGACGAUGCGGUUACCGCGGCUGCUGGCACGGAGUUAGCCGGUGCUUCUUCUGCGAGUAACGUCACAGAUGUAAGGUAUUAACUUACACCCUUUCCUCCUCGCUGAAAGUGCUUUACAACCCGAAGGCCUUCUUCACACACGCGGCAUGGCUGCAUCAGGGUUUCCCCCAUUGUGCAAUAUUCCCCACUGCUGCCUCCCGUAGGAGUCUGGGCCGUGUCUCAGUCCCAGUGUGGCUGAUCAUCCUCUCAGACCAGCUAGGGAUCGUCGCCUAGGUGAGCCUUUACCUCACCUACUAGCUAAUCCCACCUGGGCUUAUCCAUCAGCGCAAGGCCCGAAGGUCCCCCUGCUUUCCCCCGUAGGGCGUAUGCGGUAUUAGCAGUCGUUUCCAACUGUUAUCCCCCACAAAUGGGCAAAUUCCCAGGCAUUACUCACCCGUCCGCCGCUCGUCAUCUUCAAAAGCAAGCUUUUGAAAUGUUACCGCUCGACUUGCAUGUGUUAGGCCUGCCGCCAGCGUUCAAU
rnacentral:rRNA from 1 species